GGGAAUGUGGCUCAGUGGUAGAGUGCUUGCCUUGCUGCAUGAAGCCCUGGGUUCGAUUCCUCAGUACCA
rnacentral:tRNA from 1 species